CAGGAAAUAAAUGCCGCUCUGGGUGAACAACUAUCUGCUGAGGAUGAGGAGGCUGUCAUGGCUGAAUUCGACAACUUGGAAGCUGAGCUUGCACUUGAGUCUCUGCCGGAUGCUCCCGUUACUGAAGUACAACCU